AUGGAGGAAUUAGAAGAUGUUAUCUGGUCCAUGCAUGGGGAAAAGGCCCCGGGACCUGACGGGUUCAUUGGCAACUUCUUCAAGCACUGUUGGGAUUGUGUCAAGUUGGAUUUAUUCUCUGCUGUACGACAAUUUUUUUAUCUGAAGGGGUCCACGGGCCACCUGCUGAACACUGCGCACUUGGUUUUAAUCCCAAAGAAAGAGGCAGUUUCUGAUGCAAGGGACUAUAGGCCGAUCAGCUUGAUACAUAGUUUUGCAAAGAUUGUUUGCAAGCUUUUAGCAACUAGGCUGGCUCCUGAGCUCAACAAUAUCAUUUCCCCGUGUCAGAGUGCUUUUAUAAGAAAAAGAUGUAUCCAUGACAAUUUCUUAUUUGUUUGGAAUGUGGUUAAGGAUGCACACUCAAGUAAAUCUCCUCUGCUAUUCCUCAAGCUAGAUAUCGCAAAAGCUUUUGACUCCGUGCGGUGGGACUAUCUGAUUGAGGUACUCAGGGCCUUUGGAUUUGGUCAGAAAUGGAGGGACCUCAUCUCUUUGAUAUUGGCUUCGUCUUCGUCUCGAGUCCUUCUCAACGGUUUGCCUGGGAGACCAUUCAUGCAUUUGAAAGGACUCAGACAAGGGGAUCCGCUUGCCCCAAUGCUUUUUAUCCUGGCCCUUGACCCCUUGCAGAGGAUUUUUCAAAGGGCGACUGAUUUGGGCAUUCUUUCCCCCCUAUCAAACAGUGCUGCCAGGAUGAGAGCUAGUUUUUAUGCGGACGACGCGGCUCUUUUCCUCAACCCUGAUCGUGAUGAAAUGGUCGCAGUCCAGGCCAUUCUGGAAAGGUGA
rnacentral:rRNA from 1 species